AACGAACGCUGGCGGCAUGCCUAACACAUGCAAGUCGAACGAGACCUUCGGGUCUAGUGGCGCACGGGUGCGUAACGCGUGGGAAUCUGCCCUUGGGUUCGGAAUAACAGUUAGAAAUGACUGCUAAUACCGGAUGAUGUCUUCGGACCAAAGAUUUAUCGCCCAAGGAUGAGCCCGCGUAAGAUUAGCUAGUUGGUGGGGUAAAAGCCUACCAAGGCGACGAUCUUUAGCUGGUCUGAGAGGAUGAUCAGCCACACUGGGACUGAGACACGGCCCAGACUCCUACGGGAGGCAGCAGUGGGGAAUAUUGGACAAUGGGCGAAAGCCUGAUCCAGCAAUGCCGCGUGAGUGAUGAAGGCCUUAGGGUUGUAAAGCUCUUUUACCCGAGAUGAUAAUGACAGUAUCGGGAGAAUAAGCCCCCGGCUAACUUCGUGCCAGCAGCCGCGGUAAU
rnacentral:rRNA from 1 species